AUUUCUUUAUUCAUAAUUGCUCAAACUUGGAGGCAACGAAGAAACCAAAAUGUUCUUCACUAGGGCUGGAGAUGAUGUUAACCAACGGCCUUGGGAGGAGAGAUUGCAGCUGAGCCCACACCCUCUCAAACUCCUUCAGACUGUUUGUGUUUUUGUAGACUUUACCAUUAACAACAAAUCCUAAGAUUUACUCAAUCAGUACAGCAGUCGUUGGCCAGAGUUCAAAUUUCUGAUUCGAAGGAAUCUGCACUCUGCCUGCCAGGAUCGACUAUUAAUGGCUUCGUCCAUAGAGGAGCUGUGUCUUUGCUCACUAUGGAACAGUAUUGAGGCUUCGAAAGGGGUAUUUUGCUGGUCACCUCCUUGGUCAUCCUUCUGCUCACCAAGAGCAGAUACUGUUCUCAGCCCCUUACAUUUACAAGGUCGUUUAAUUCUCACAUAGCCC